rnacentral:RNase_P_RNA from 1 species
GGACCGAUACAGGCAAUCGCUCUGAGUCUCUCAGAGAGGAAAGUCCGAACACAGGCAGCGAAAGCUGCAGGAAGGUAGCGGGUAACGCCCGUCCGCCGCGAGGCGCGAGGUGCGAACAGUGACGUCAACGACGAAAGUCCGCGACAUCCUUCGGGAUGAACUUCAUCGGAAGGUGAAGAUGAAACGGCAAAAUCCUUACCUCUGUGCAAGGCCGUGCCCCGUAAGGGGAGUGCCGCUUGAGGACAUCGGUAACGAUGCUCCCAGAUAAAUGAUUGUCCGCGACAGAAUUCGGCUUACCGUAUCGAUCCAACA